rnacentral:rRNA from 1 species
UACGAAGGGGGCUAGCGUUGCUCGGAAUCACUGGGCGUAAAGCGCACGUAGGCGGCUUCUUAAGUCAGGGGUGAAAUCCUGGAGCUCAACUCCAGAACUGCCUCUGAUACUGAGGAGCUCGAGUCCGGGAGAGGUGAGUGGAACUCCGAGUGUAGAGGUGAAAUUCGUAGAUAUUGGGAAGAACACCAGUGGCGAAGGCGGCUCACUGGCCCGUAACUGACGCUGAGGUGCGAAAGCGUGGGGAGCAAACAGG